GAGUCCAAUUCACAUCAACAAAUAGAUUUAGGCCUACAAAAACUAUUUGAACCAGAUAGAGGGCCUUAUUUUUUUUGAACAAUAGAAUCUUGGAGAAACACAGCUCGAGCAGAGACGCGAUGAAGGAGAGAGGCGAAGGAGGAGUGGCGAGACGCGAGAAGCCGAGCAAAGACGGAGGAGAGAGGCGGGGUGGUGGGUGCAGUGAUAGCGAGGACAGGCGACGACACAAGCUGACAAACAAGAAGCAGUGAAGCACAGCUCGAGCAGGGAGGCAAGAGACGUGCGAGUAGCCGAGCUCAUACGGAGGAGAGAGUCACACUCUUCUUCACUCAAACACACACACACUCACGGUUAGAGGGAAAACGGGAAACAGACGGAAGAAGGAAGAAAGAAGAAAGAAAGGGAAGAGAGGUGAAGGGAGCCGCAGGAAAGGGACGAAAAGGGGAGAAGAGAGAGAAGGUCGCGCUGCUGCUGCCGCCAGAGCCACGAGGAGAGGGAGCCACGCCGCCGUCGUGCCGUCAUCGCCGUUGCUGUCAGUGAAGCCAUCACUGUCGCGGAUCAGACCUGAGGCGAGAGAGAGAACCGCUAUGGGGGAAGGAGUCGCGCCACCCAGUCGCUGUCUGUGGGGAGUCGUCAUUGGUCUGCACGCCACCAACGUCGCCGCAUUAUCGCGAUAAGGAGAGCGAGCCGCUUCGAAGGAGAAGAACCAUCGCGGAGCUGCCCCUGCCGUUGAUGGGGGUGCGCCGCCAAGCUCUUGUCGCCGAAGAACCCUGCUGCCAUCGCUGAUGACCACUGCCGUCGCUGUCAUCGGGGUUUUUGCUCGCUGUUGUCGCUUGAGGUUAUUGUCGGAGCUACUGCCGGGUCGAUUCAGAGUCGCAGCUGCUUUGUUUUGUUAUUAUAAGUCAUUGUGGUUGCUGAGAAAGUGGCUUGGAGUUGAGGUUGCGGUUGCCGCAAUUGCAGGACGAGAGAAAAUGAGUUGUGACGCGUUUUAGAGUUUUCGAGUUUCGACAAUCGAGGUGUUUUUAUCUCUUUCAUUUGAUGAAGAUCUUGGGAUGUCUGAGAAGAAAGACAAUGAUUAGAAAUUUAAAAACAAGAAAAAUAAGAAGAGAAUAAACAUGGAGGCAUCAAAUCAGUUCCCAGAUAAUGACAAUAAGAGAUGUAAGCAUGAAUUGAUCGCUAAGACAAAAGAGGAGCUGACUACAAGGUUACAUCGUUUGCCCUAUAUGUUAUGGAGAGGAGACGAAUGC